UUGCAUUCUCUCCCACUGAAGGUGCCCUCGCAUACAUUUUUUAGAAACAACAUUCUAAAAAUCUUUAAAAAUGACCGCCUUCUGGAGACAAGUUGGACUAAAUUACAUAAAUUACUCUCAGAUAUGUGCAAAAGUUGUAAGGAGGGUCCUUAAAGAGCCUCACAAGACAAAUGUGUUUGGAAGAGAUGACAGUGUCAUUAAAACAGCCAAAUGGGAAAAUGGAAAAAUAGUUAAAACAGAUGGCAAGCUAGUGUCUUAAUAAGGCACAAGGAAAAGAAUAGACUUUUUAGGACAAAUUUAUAUAUGGAUGUUGAAUGGUCGCCACCUUGGAUUGCUUGUCGUCAUGAAUGGGACUUUUUCUUAUAGCUAGCUCUGUAAACAAUUUUACUGCAAACUUCCUGUUUUCUAUUAUGUUAUUCAAUGGAAAUUUGUCAGUGUUCUUAUGAAUGAAUGUUUUAUUCAUAUGAAUAACAAAAUAAAAUUAUUUAAACAAAC